rnacentral:rRNA from 1 species
GACGAACGCUGGCGGCGUGCCUAAUACAUGCAAGUCGAGCGGACCAAACAGGAGCUUGCUCUUGUUUGGUUAGCGGCGGACGGGUGAGUAACACGUGGGUAACCUGCCCGUAAGACCGGGAUAAAUCCGGGAAACCGGAGCUAAUACCGGAUAACACCGAAGACCGCAUGGUCUUUGGUUGAAAGGCGGCUUCGGCUGCCACUUACGGAUGGGCCCGCGGCGCAUUAGCUAGUUGGUGAGGUAACGGCUCACCAAGGCGACGAUGCGUAGCCGGCCUGAGAGGGUGACCGGCCACACUGGGACUGAGACACGGCCCAGACUCCUACGGGAGGCAGCAGUAGGGAAUCUUCCGCAAUGGACGAAAGUCUGACGGAGCGACGCCGCGUGAGCGAAGAAGGUCUUCGGAUCGUAAAGCUCUGUUGUUAGGGAAGAAGAAGCGCCGUUCGAACAGGGCGGCGCGGUGACGGUACCUAACGAGAAAGCCCCGGCUAACUACGUG